UUCAUACUCCCUCCGUCCCGAAUUACUUGUCGCAGAAAUGGAUGUAUCUAGACAUAUUUUUAGUUCUGGGUACAUCCAUUUCUGCGGCAAGUAAUUUGGGGCGGACGGAGUAUAAU
rnacentral:pre_miRNA from 1 species